rnacentral:rRNA from 1 species
AUUGAACGCUGGCGGCAGGCCUAAGACAUGCAAGUCGAGCGAGAAAGCACUUCGGUGUGAGUACAGCGGCGGACGGGUGAGUAACGCGUAGGAAUCUACCCAGUAGUGGGGGACAACUAGUGGAAACGCUAGCUAAUACCGCAUACGCCCUACGGGGGAAAGCGGGGGACCUUCGGGCCUCGUGCUAUUGGAUGAGCCUGCGUAAGAUUAGCUUGUUGGUGAGGUAAUGGCUCACCAAGGCGACGAUCUUUAGCUGGUCUGAGAGGAUGAUCAGCCACACCGGGACUGAGACACGGCCCGGACUCCUACGGGAGGCAGCAGUCGGGAAUAUUGCGCAAUGGGCGAAAGCCUGACGCAGCCAUGCCGCGUGUGUGAAGAAGGCCCUAGGGUUGUAAAGCACUUUCAAUUGGGAGGAAAAGCUAAUGGUUAAUAACCAUUAGCCCUGACGUUACCUUUAGAAGAAGCACCGGCUAACUCCGUG